rnacentral:tRNA from 1 species
UCCCUGGUGGCUUAGAGGGUAAAGCAUCUGCCUGCAAUGCGGGAGGCCAGGGUUUGAUCCCUGAGUUGGGAA